UACGAAGGGGGCUAGCGUUGUUCGGAAUCACUGGGCGUAAAGGGCGCGUAGGCGGCUUUGUAAGUCGGGGGGUGAAAGCCUGGAGCUCAACUCCAGAAUUGCCUUUAAGACUGCAUCGCUCGAAUCCAGGAGAGGUGAGUGGAAUUCCGAGUGUAGAGGUGAAAUUCGUAGAUAUUCGGAAGAACACCAGUGGCGAAGGCGGCUCACUGGACUGGUAUUGACGCUGAGGUGCGAAAGCGUGGGGAGCAACAGG
rnacentral:rRNA from 1 species